rnacentral:sRNA from 1 species
CACGAAGGAACGCAGACUAAGGACGCCACGUCCUGUCGCAACGUCUGCAUGACCCCCAUCCU